UACGUAGGGUGCAAGCGUUAAUCGGAAUUACUGGGCGUAAAGCGUGCGCAGGCGGUGAUGUAAGACAGUUGUGAAAUCCCCGGGCUCAACCUGGGGACUGCAUCUGUGACUGCAUCGCUGGAGUACGGCAGAGGGGGAUGGAAUUCCGCGUGUAGCAGUGAAAUGCGUAGAUAUGCGGAGGAACGCCGAUGGCGAAGGCAAUCCCCUGGGCCUGUACUGACGCUCAUGCACGAAAGCGUGGGGAGCAAACAGG
rnacentral:rRNA from 1 species